CCUGAUCUGUCUGCAGGCAAAAAAGUGAUGAUGAUGUCUGAGUGGUUCCCCCCGGCACUCUCACCGGGCCCAUCCUGCUUUACACCUGAACUGCUACAUGAACCUGGACACAUUUCAUACAGGUUCUCGUGUCCUGGUCCAGGUUUUUUCCAGUGUAUGCUGAC